CCUACGGGAGGCAGCAGUGAGGAAUUUUCCGCAAUGGGCGAAAGCCUGACGGAGCAAUACCGCGUGAGGGAUGAAGGAUUUUGGUCUGUAAACCUCUUUUCUCAAGAAAGAAGUUCUGACGGUACUUGAGGAAUAAGCAUCGGCUAACUCCGUGCCAGCAGCCGCGGUAAUACGGGGGAUGCAAGCGUUAUCCGGAAUGAUUGGGCGUAAAGCGCCUGUAGGUUGUUUAUUAAGUCCGUUGUUAAAGCCUAGGGCUUAACCCUAGAAAAGCAAUGGAAACUAGUAGACUAGAGUAUGGCAGGGGUAGAGGGAAUUUCUAGUGUAGCGGUGAAAUGCGUAGAUAUUAGAAAGAACACCGGUGGCGAAAGCGCUCUACUGGACCAUUACUGACACUCAGAGGCGAAAGCUAGGGUAGCAAAAGGGAUUAGAUACCCCUGUAGUCCUAGCCGUAAACGAUGGAUACUAGAUGUUGUGCAUUAUGUACAGUAUCGUAGCUAACGCGUUAAGUAUCCCGCCUGGGGAGUACGCUCGCAAGGGUGAAACUCAAAGGAAUUGACGGCUGAGANGCGAGCGACACGAGGAGAG
rnacentral:rRNA from 1 species